rnacentral:RNase_P_RNA from 1 species
AGCAGACUGAACAGUCGCGGGUAUCACUCGAAAGGGGAUAUCUGAGGAAAGUCCGAGCUCCACAGGGCAGAAUAACGGCUAACGGCCGCCGGGGGCGACCCUAGGGAUAGUGCAACAGAGAGAUACCGCCCGGUUUUACCGUGGUAAGGAUGGAAAGGCGAGGUAAGAGCUCACCAGCGUGUAGGAGACUACACGGCUAUGUAAACCCUAUUCGGAGCAACACCGCAGAGAAACACAUAGCGCUUGCCCGGCGCGUUUCGAGAAGGUGGCAUGAGCCGUGGUGGCAACACCCGGCCAAGAUAGAUGACUGUUCACGACAGAACUCGGCUUAUAGGUCUGGUCG